AUGAACGCUAGCGACAGGCUUAACACAUGCAAGUCAGGGGUAACAGGGUAGCAAUACCGCUGACGACCGGCGGCACGGGUGAGUAACGCGUAUGCGAACCUGCCCUAGUAAACUGGGGGAAUAGCUCCCUGAAAGGGGAAUUAACACCGCAUAACACUAUUGAUUCGCAUGGAUUGGUAGUUAAAUGUAGCGAUACAGGUUAUAGAUGGGCAUGCGUGACAUUAGCUAGUUGGUGAGGUAACGGCUCACCAAGGCUACGAUGUCUAGGGGUUCUGAGAGGAAGGUCCCCCCACACUGGUACUGAGACACGGACCAGACUCCUACGGGAGGCAGCAGUGAGGAAUAUUGGUCAAUGGGCGCAAGCCUGAACCAGCCAUGUCGCGUGCAGGAAGAACCUGCCCUAUGGGUUGUAAACUGCUUUUAUAGUAGAAGAAACACAUCUACGCGUAGAUGUCUGCCAGUAUACUAUGAAUAAGCAUCGGCUAACUCCGUGCCAGCCGCGGC
rnacentral:rRNA from 1 species